CAUGAACUUAGCUUGCUAAGUUUGAUGGCGACCGGCGCACGGGUGAGUAACACGUAUCCAACCUGCCGAUGACUCGGGGAUAACCUUGCGAAAGUAAGACUAAUACCCAAUGACGUCUCUAGAAGACAUCUGAAAGAGAUUAAAGAUUUAUCGGUGAUGGAUGGGGAUGCGUCUGAUUAGCUUGUUGGCGGGGUAACGGCCCACCAAGGCGACGAUCAGUAGGGGUUCUGAGAGGAAGGUCCCCACAUUGGAACUGAGACACGGUCCAAACUCC
rnacentral:rRNA from 1 species